GACGAACGCUGGCGGCGUGCUUAACACAUGCAAGUCGAACGAUGAAGCCGGAGCUUGCUCUGGUGAAUUAGUGGCGAACGGGUGAGUAACGCGUGAGUAACCUGCCCUUGACCCUGGGAUAACUGCUCGAAAUGGUAGCUAAUACCGGAUACGACCCUCGGAGGCAUCUCCAGGGGGUGGAAAGACUUUCGGUCAAGGAUGGACUCGCGGCCUAUCAGCUAGUUGGUGAGGUAAUGGCUCACCAAGGCGACGACCGGUAGCCGGCCGGGGAGGGGGGCGGGCCGCACGGGGACAGGGCCACGGCGCAGACGCCGACGGGCGGCAGCAGUGGGGAAUAUUGCACCAUGGGCGCGAGCCUGAUGCAGAAACGCGGCGUGAGGGAUGGCGGCCUUCGGGUUGUAAACCUGUUGUAGUAGGGAAGAAGCGAAAGUGACGGUACCUGCGGAAAAAGGACCGGCUAACUACGUGCCAUCCGCCGCGGUAA
rnacentral:rRNA from 1 species